rnacentral:rRNA from 1 species
AGUCGAGCGGUAGCCGAGGUACCUUGCUCCUUUGCCGGCGAGCGGCGGACGGGUGAGUAAUGUCUGGAAAACUGCCUGAUGGAGGGGGAUAACUACUGGAAACGGUAGCUAAUACCGCAUAACGUCGCGAGACCAAAGAGGGGGACCUUCGGGCCUCUUGCCAUCAUAUGUGCCCAGAUGGGAUUAGCUAGUAGGUGGGGUAACGGCUCACCUAGGCCACUAUCCCUAGCUGGUCUGAGAGGAUGACCAGCCACACUGGAACUGACACACGGUCCAGACUCCUACGGGAGGCAGCAGUGGGGAAUAUUGCACAGUGGGCGCAAGCCUGAUGCACCCGUGCCGCGUGUAUGAAAAAGGCCUUCGGGUUGUAAAGUAUUUUCAGCGGGGAAGAAGGUGUUGAGGUUAAUAACCUCCGCUUUUGAUUUUCCCCGCAAAAGAAGCCCCGGCUAACUCCGUGCCCGCACCCGCGGAAAUACGGAGGGUGCGAGCGUUUAUCAGAAUUACUGGGCGUAAAGCGCACGCAGGCGGUGUGUCAAGUCAGAUGUAAAAUCCCCGGGCUCACCCUGGGAACUC